rnacentral:rRNA from 1 species
GGACACCUACGGGGCGCAGCAGUGGGGGAUAUUGCACAAUGGGGGGAACUCUGAUGCAGCGACGCCGCGUGGGCGAUGGAGCGCCUCGGCGCGUAAAGCCCUAUCAGCAGGGAAGAAGAUGACGGUACCUGACUAAGAAGCCCCGGCUAAAUACGUGCCAGCAGCCGCGGUAAUACGUAUGGGGCAAGCGUUAUCCGGCUUUACUGGGUGUAAAGGGAGCGCAGGCGGCCUGGCAAGCCUGAUGUGAAAUACC